CAUCUGCACCAAACAACUCUUUAGCAUCAAAUCGUUUUAGGAAUCCUAUUUAGUUCAUACAGUUAUCUUUAACAGGUGACAUUUAUUAGAUUCGAAAUUCAAAUUCGAAUAAAAACCCUAUUUGGUUCAAAUAUAUCCUUUAAUUCAAACAAACUUUUUUGUCCUUCAUUUUCUUGAGAAAAAAAUAGUGCAUAAUUUCAGAACACUAUCAAGACAGAACUGGAUUCUUAAUUUAAAUCUAGAAACUUGAAAUAUAUAUUAAAAAAAAAAAGGGAAAAUGUUUGGAACUCUUAAGUCAAAUGCUACCUUUUGGUAGAUAGAUAGAUACGCAUUAAAUAAGUAACAUCAGACAUUUUCUGUAUAUAUAUUCAUAUUCGAACAUGUGUUGGACACGAAUAUUUAAAAAAAAAGAACCCGAAAAAUUUCGGAUAACAAUUAUAAUCUAUACGUAUAUAUAUUGAAUGAAGAGGGGCCAACCAUGUCUUAAAAGCAUCCAAAAUAUAAGGUUUGUGUCUAUUUCAACCAAGAAAAAGAAUGCUUCUUUUUUCUUCCUAAAAGAACACUUAAACAUGUGUCCAAUUGGAAAAAGGUUGUGCUUAAAAUGGAAACCUUUUAUUGUCAAUCUGUUUUCACUAGCUGUAUAUCUUUUAUAUUUAUUUGACACACUAAUCAUUAUACAUAUCAUUACAAAAAUUCUUUCUUCUAUAUUUAUUUUAAUUAAUAUUAGUAUGAAAUAAUAAUAAAGUAAAUUAAAUCAUAAAAAUUUUUAUAAUCAAAUGAAAAAAAAAAUUAUACUCUUAAGGAAGAGUAACAAAAUAAAAAGAGAGGGGGGAUAAUUAGAAAUUAAAAAAUAAUAUUGGAAGAGAUCAUUGAAGAGCACUUUAUGCUUAAUUUGGAGAUCUUUCAUGUAAAAUCUAUGAAGGGUAGGUCCAAUUUUUAUGAAACAUAAACAAGAAAGGUAAGAAAAAUAAAAUGAAAUCCAAUUCAAUGUAGUACAAUUUCCACAUGGAUGGGGAUUAAAACCUUCAUAAAUUUAUAUAUAAAGAAACAUUAAAUUAUCAAGUAAAUUUGGUAGCCAUGAAAAAUUCAAGAAAUAAAAUGAAACAAAAUUGAUGUCCACAAAUAUUGAUGAUAAGAGAAUCCCAUGUGUUUGUAAAUCAAUUUGGUGGCUUAAAAUGAUUGAAACCCCACAUUUUGAAAUCCUCAAGAAAAAAAAAGUGCAAAGGUUGGGGGAAGUUUGGAUUUGAUGAACAAGUAUAUAGGCCUUGUAGAAGUGCAUUCUUUUGGUCCACUUGAAUUCAGAACUAUGAAGUCAUCAUAAUACCUAAUGAAGAGUGAAGAAUAUCAAAGGGUAAUCAAAGUUUUAUAUGAUAUAAUAUAAAUAAAUAGUUAUAUUAUCAUAAAUAAUUUGUUUUUCCUUUGAGAAUAAUUAUGUAUAUUUAUCAUAGUAUGAAGAAUAUUAACCUGUUUCCCCACUUAGCAUGCAGUUCCAUGAUCAAGAAUUGUUCCUCCGGUGUGAUAUUGCCUCUCCGAACGUCCGGUCGAAGAUAGUUUAACCAUCGGAGCCGGCAACUCUUCCCGGUACGUUUCAACCCUAGAAGAAGUUUAUCAUUAGGGUUACCAUAUAUCAAUAUCAAAGCAUUACUACUAUAUAUUGAAUGAAAAUUUUAAAAUAAAAAAAAUCUCUUUCAUAGAUUACUUAAUUAUAUGAUCAAAAAAUAUUGUUUAUUCAUAAUUUUUUUGAAAACUCAAAAUAUAUGUAUAGAAUGAGGAAUUACCUGCAGCUCUAGCAAGAGAAUUCCAAACACCUUCACCAUGGUUGGCAAUAUAGUUGAUGAGAAUCAAAUCCUCUUCCAUAGUCCAUGGACCUUUUCUCACUUCAAC
rnacentral:lncRNA from 1 species